UACGUAGGGUGCAAGCGUUGUCCGGAAUUAUUGGGCGUAAAGAGCUCGUAGGCGGUCUGUCACGUCGGCUGUGAAAACCCGAGGCUCAACCUCGGGCCUGCAGUCGAUACGGGCAAACUAGAGUACUGCAGGGGAGACUGGAAUUCCUGGUGUAGCGGUGAAAUGCGCAGAUAUCAGGAGGAACACCGGUGGCGAAGGCGGGGUCUCUGGGCAGUAAACUGACGC
rnacentral:rRNA from 1 species